AGUUUAAAGCGGUGGGUGAAUUUUACUGUAAUACAAUAGCUACUGAAAACCUGUGUGAAAGGAAAGUAUAUUUAACUUGAGUUAAAUAAAACAUAUGUACCUGUGAUCGGAUAAGAACCAGUGAACAAUGUCUACUGGUCGAUAGGCAAUGUAUUUGCCCGCAAGGUUUCGGUGAUUGUUGCUGGAUUAUUGAGAAGUGAUGGUCAAAAAUCUUCCUUAGGAAAAAAAUCGUUUGAAUCUUAGUGAGACAUUUGAGCAUGAAGACGCGCAUUUUGUUCCAUGCGUGCCUGCUGGCGAUUGGAUUUACAGCCCUAGUAGAAGCACAGACUGCUGACGAUGCCAAGGCCUUGCAAAGCAAGCUGUUAGAUGGCUACAACAAAAAUGUGAAGCCGGUUUUCAAUCAGACAGAUGUCAUCGAAGUGAAUUGUUCCUAUCAUUGAUAUUCAAUCAUCGACUUCAAUGAUCAAGAAGAAAGCAUAAAGCUGUCUGGAUAUCUGAUUCUAACUUGGACUGACGCUUUCCUUAAGUGGAAUCAGGCGGAUUACGGAGGCCAGAACUAUACUUUUCUGGUAAAUUAUAAAACUGAAUACAUGCAAACUUUACCAUGCCAUCAGAAUUUGGCGUGCAAACGAAUAUUGAAAUGUUUGAAUCGGCUUUAAAAAGAAACGAAUUUUGUUCCAAUAUAAUUAAGCAAUAAAAAUGAUAACUGCCUAUGUACUUUCUGCACAUCUCGAUGAUUUGUCACAAUGUCAAGAAAAUAAAUUCACUAGCUGAUUUAACUGCAGUUAUUUAUACUUUAGUACCUUCCUCACCAAAUGAUAAGAUAAUACUAUUAUUUAAUCGACUUUAUAUGACACCUUGAUAAUGUUAUUGGAAAAAAGUAGAUUUUUUGGCAUUAUUUGCCGGACGUGCAGCACUUAUGUGUGUAUAUUAUGCUUAUUAAUUCAAAGGUUGGAGUAGUGGUACUAGUAGUAGUAGUAGUAGUAGUAGUAGUAGUAGUA